rnacentral:rRNA from 1 species
UACGGAGGGUGCAAGCGUUAUCCGGAUUUACUGGGUUUAAAGGGUGCGUAGGUGGAUUUGUAAGUCAGUGGUGAAAUCUCCGGGCUUAACCCGGAAACUGCCAUUGAUACUAUUUGUCUUGAAUACUGUGGAGGUCAGCGGAAUAUGUCAUGUAGCGGUGAAAUGCUUAGAUAUGACAUAGAACACCAAUUGCGAAGGCAGCUGGCUACACAAAUAUUGACACUGAGGCACGAAAGCGUGGGGAUCAAACAGG